rnacentral:rRNA from 1 species
GACGAACGCUGGCGGCAUGCCUAAUACAUGCAGGUCGAGCGAACAGAUGAAGUGCUUGCACUUCUGACGUUAGCGGCGAACGGGUGAGUAACACGUAAGGAAUCUACCUAUAAGCGGGGGAUAACAUUCGGAAACGGGUGCUAAUACCGCAUAAUAUCUUCUUCCGCAUGGAAGAAGAUUGAAAGACGGCUCUGCUGUCCCUUAUAGAUGACCUUGCGGUGCAUUAGUUAGUUGGUGGGGUAACGGCCUACCAAGACGAUGAUGCAUAGCCGACCUGAGAGGGUGAUCGGCCACAUUGGGACUGAGACACGGCCCAAACUCCUACGGGAGGCAGCAGUAGGGAAUCUUCCGCAAUGGGCGAAAGCCUGACGGAGCAAUGCCGCGUGAGUGAAGAAGGCCUUCGGGUCGUAAAACUCUGUUAUAAGAGAAGAACAAAUUGUAGAGUAACUGCUACAGUCUUGACGGUAUCCUAUCAGAAAGCCACGGCUAACUACGUGCCAGCCGCCGCGGUAA